UACGGAGGGUGCAAGCGUUGUCCGGAUUUAUUGGGUUUAAAGGGUGCGUAGGUGGUUUAGUAAGUCUGGUUUGAAAGCUGGUCGCUUAACGGUCAGAUGUGGCUGGAAACUGGUAAACUUGAAUGCGUUGGCGGUAGCCGGAACGGGUCAUGUAGCGGUGAAAUGCAUAGAUAUGACCCAGAACACCGAUUGCGAAGGCAGGCUACUACGACGUGAUUGACACUGAGGCACGAGAGCAUGGGUAGCGAACAGG
rnacentral:rRNA from 1 species